GCAGACGGCGGAGAGCAGAGAGGGAGCGCGCCUUGGCUCGCUGGCCUUGGCGGCGGCUCCUCAGGAGAGCUGGGGCGCCCACGAGAGGAUCCCUCACCCGGGUCUCUCCUCAGGGAUGACAUCAUCCGUCCACCUCCUUGUCUUCAAGGACCACCUCCUCUCCAUGCUGAGCUGCUGCCAAGGGGCCUGCUGCCCAUCUACACCUCACGAGGGCACUAGGAGCACGGUUUCCUGGAUCCCACCAACAUACAAAGCAGCCACUCACUGACCCCCAGGACCAGGAUGGCAAAGGAUGAAGAGGACCGGAACUGACCAGCCAGCUGUCCCUCUUACCUAAAGACUUAAACCAAUGCCCUAGUGAGGGGGCAUUGGGCAUUAAGCCCUGACCUUUGCUAUGCUCAUACUUUGACUCUAUGAGUACUUUCCUAUAAGUCUUUGCUUGUGUUCACCUGCUAGCAAACUGGAGUGUUUCCCUCCCCAAGGGGGUGUCAGUCUUUGUCGACUGACUCUGUCAUCACCCUUAUGAUGUCCUGAAUGGAAGGAUCCCUUUGGGAAAUUCUCAGGAGGGGGACCUGGGCCAAGGGCUUGGCCAGCAUCCUGCUGGCAACUCCAAGGCCCUGGGUGGGCUUCUGGAAUGAGCAUGCUACUGAAUCACCAAAGGCACGCCCGACCUCUCUGAAGAUCUUCCUAUCCUUUUCUGGGGGAAUGGGGUCGAUGAGAGCAACCUCCUAGGGUUGUUGUGAGAAUUAAAUGAGAUAAAAGAGGCCUCAGGCAGGAUCUGGCAUAGAGGAGGUGAUCAGCAAAUGUUUGUUGAAAAGGUUUGACAGGUCAGUCCCUUCCCACCCCUCUUGCUUGUCUUACUUGUCUUAUUUAUUCUCCAACAGCACUCCAGGCAGCCCUUGUCCACGGGCUCUCCUUGCAUCAGCCAAGCUUCUUGAAAGGCCUGUCUACACUUGCUGUCUUCCUUCCUCACCUCCAAUUUCCUCUUCAACCCACUGCUUCCUGACUCGCUCUACUCCGUGGAAGCACGCUCACAAAGGGCUAAUCUCGGGCCUUGUCGAAGGAAGAGGCUGCAGACGUUAAUGAGGUUAGCUGCUGGAUUCCAGUAUUCGUCGCAUAAGGAUCCUUCUUUGUCUGCGAAGGAAAAACACACUGAUUAUCAUAAUGAGGCACGUGGGCCGUGGCCCGGCUGGGUCGGCUGAAGAACUGCGGAUGGAAGCUGCGGAAGAGGCCCUGAUGGGGCCCACCAUCCCGGACCCAAGUCUUCUUCCUGGCGGGCCUCUCGUCUCCUUCCUGGUUUGGGCGGAAGCCAUCACCUGGAUGCCUACGUGGGAAGGGACCUCGAAUGUGGGACCCCAGCCCCUCUCCAGCUCGAAAUCCCUCCACAGCCACGGGGACACCCUGCACCUAUUCCCACGGGACAGGCUGGACCCAGAGACUCUGGACCCGGGGCCUCCCCUUGAGUAGAGACCCGCCCUCUGACUGAUGGACGCCGCUGACCUGGGGUCAGACCCGUGGGCUGGACCCCUGCCCACCCCGCAGGAACCCUGAGGCCUAGGGGAGCUGUUGAGCCUUCAGUGUCUGCAUGUGGGAAGUGGGCUCCUUCACCUACCUCACAGGGCUGUUGUGAGGGGCGCUGUGAUGCGGUUCCAAAGCACAGGGCUUGGCGCACCCCACUGUGCUCUCAAUAAAUGUGU
rnacentral:lncRNA from 1 species